rnacentral:rRNA from 1 species
GGUUAAGCGACUAAGCGUACACGGUGGAUGCCCUGGCAGUCAGAGGCGAUGAAGGACGUGCUAAUCUGCGAUAAGCGUCGGUAAGGUGAUAUGAACCGUUAUAACCGGCGAUUUCCGAAUGGGGAAACCCAGUGUGAUUCGUCACACUAUCAUUGCGUGAAUACAUAGCGUAAUGAAGCGAACCGGGGGAACUGAAACAUCUAAGUACCCCGAGGAAAAGAAAUCAACCGAGAUUCCCCCCAGUAGCGGCGAGCGAACGGGGAGCAGCCCAGAGUCUGAAUCAGCUUGUGUGUUAGUGGAACGGUCUGGAAAGUCCGACGGUACAGGGUGAUAGUCCCGUACACCAAAAUGCACAGGUUGUGAACUCGAAGAGUAGGGCGGGACACGUGGUAUCCUGUCUGAAUAUGGGGGGGACCAUCCUCCAAGGCUAAAUACUCCUGACUGACCGAUAGUGAACCAGUACCGUGAGGGAAAGGCGAAAAGAACCCCGGCGAGGGGAGUGAAAAAAGAACCUGAAACCGUGUACGUACAAGCAGUGGGAGCCUACUUGUUAGGUGACUGCGUACCUUUUGUAUAAUGGGUCAGCGACUUAUAUUCUGUAGCAAGGUUAACCGUAUAGGGGAGCCGAAGGGAAACCGAGUCUUAACUGGGCGUUAAGUUGCAGGGUAUAGACCCGAAACCCGGUGAUCUAGCCAUGGGCAGGUUGAAGGUUGGGUAACACUAACUGGAGGACCGAACCGACUAAUGUUGAAAAAUUAGCGGAUGACUUGUGGCUGGGGGUGAAAGGCCAAUCAAACCGGGAGAUAGCUGGUUCUCCCCGAAAGCUAUUUAGGUAGCGCCUCGUGAAUUCAUCUUCGGGGGUAGAGCACUGUUUCGGCUAGGGGGUCAUCCCGACUUACCAACCCGAUGCAAACUGCGAAUACCGAAGAAUGUUAUCACGGGAGACACACGGCGGGUGCUAACGUCCGUCGUGAAGAGGGAAACAACCCAGACCGCCAGCUAAGGUCCCAAAGUCAUGGUUAAGUGGGAAACGAUGUGGGAAGGCACAGACAGCCAGGAUGUUGGCUUAGAAGCAGCCAUCAUUUAAAGAAAGCGUAAUAGCUCACUGGUCGAGUCGGCCUGCGCGGAAGAUGUAACGGGGCUAAACCAUGCACCGAAGCUGCGGCAGCGACACUAUGUGUUGUUGGGUAGGGGAGCGUUCUGUAAGCCGUUGAAGGUGUAUCGUGAGGUAUGCUGGAGGUAUCAGAAGUGCGAAUGCUGACAUAAGUAACGAUAAUGCGGGUGAAAAACCCGCACGCCGGAAGACCAAGGGUUCCUGUCCAACGUUAAUCGGGGCAGGGUGAGUCGACCCCUAAGGCGAGGCCGAAAGGCGUAGUCGAUGGGAAACAGGUUAAUAUUCCUGUACUUGGUGUUACUGCGAAGGGGGACGGAGAAGGCUAUGUUAGCCGGGCGACGGUUGUCCCGGUUUAAGCAUGUAGGCGGAGGUUCCAGGUAAAUCCGGUACCUUUUUAACGCUGAGGUGUGAUGACGAGGCACUACGGUGCUGAAGUAACAAAUGCCCUGCUUCCAGGAAAAGCCUCUAAGCAUCAGGUAACACGAAAUCGUACCCCAAACCGACACAGGUGGUCAGGUAGAGAAUACCAAGGCGCUUGAGAGAACUCGGGUGAAGGAACUAGGCAAAAUGGUGCCGUAACUUCGGGAGAAGGCACGCUGAUAUGUAGGUGAAGUGAUUUACUCAUGGAGCUGAAAUCAGUCGAAGAUACCAGCUGGCUGCAACUGUUUAUUAAAAACACAGCACUGUGCAAACACGAAAGUGGACGUAUACGGUGUGACGCCUGCCCGGUGCCGGAAGGUUAAUUGAUGGGGUUAUCCGUAAGGAGAAGCUCUUGAUCGAAGCCCCGGUAAACGGCGGCCGUAACUAUAACGGUCCUAAGGUAGCGAAAUUCCUUGUCGGGUAAGUUCCGACCUGCACGAAUGGCGUAAUGAUGGCCGGGCUGUCUCCACCCGAGACUCAGUGAAAUUGAACUCGCUGUGAAGAUGCAGUGUACCCGCGGCAAGACGGAAAGACCCCGUGAACCUUUACUAUAGCUUGACACUGAACACUGGUCCUUGAUGUGUAGGAUAGGUGGGAGGCUUUGAAGUGUGGACGCCAGUCUGCAUGGAGCCAUCCUUGAAAUACCACCCUUUAAUGGCUGGUGUUCUAACGUGGACCCGUUACCCGGGUUGCGGACAGUGUCUGGUGGGUAGUUUGACUGGGGCGGUCUCCUCCUAAAGAGUAACGGAGGAGCACGAAGGUUAGCUAAUCCUGGUCGGACAUCAGGAGGUUAGUGCAAAGGCAUAAGCUAGCUUGACUGCGAGAGUGACGGCUCGAGCAGGUGCGAAAGCAGGUCUUAGUGAUCCGGUGGUUCUGAAUGGAAGGGCCAUCGCUCAACGGAUAAAAGGUACUCCGGGGAUAACAGGCUGAUACCGCCCAAGAGUUCAUAUCGACGGCGGUGUUUGGCACCUCGAUGUCGGCUCAUCACAUCCUGGGGCUGAAGUAGGUCCCAAGGGUAUGGCUGUUCGCCAUUUAAAGUGGUACGCGAGCUGGGUUUAGAACGUCGUGAGACAGUUCGGUCCCUAUCUGCCGUGGGCGCUGGAGAAUUGAGGGGGCUGCUCCUAGUACGAGAGGACCGGAGUGGACGCAUCACUGGUGUUCGGGUUGUCAUGCCAAUGGCAUUGCCCGGUAGCUAAAUGCGGAAGAGAUAAGUGCUGAAAGCAUCUAAGCACGAAACUUGCCCCGAGAUGAGUUCUCCCUGAGACUAUAAGUCUCCUGAAGGAACGUUAAAGACGAUGACGUUGAUAGGUCGGGUGUGUAAGUGUAGCGAUACAUUGAGCUAACCGAUACUAAUGAACCGUGAGGCUUAACCUU